GACGAACGCUGGCGGCGUGCCUAAUACAUGCAAGUCGAACGCAGUGGGGACGGGUGAGUAACACGUGGGUAACCUCCCAUCAGAGGGGAUAACACUUGGAAACAGGUGCUAAACCGAUACUGAUGGAUGGACCUGCGGUGCAUUAGCUAGUUGGUGAGGUAACGGCUCACCAAGGCCACGAUGCAUAGCAGGCCUGCGAGGGUGAUCAGCCACACUGGGACUGAGAAACGGCCCAGACUCCUACGGGAGGCAGCAGUAGAGAAUAUUCGGCAAUGGGCGAAAGUCUGACCGAGCAUCGCCGCGUGAGUGAAGAAGUUUUUCGGAUCGUAAAGCACUGUUGUUAGAGAAGCGGUAUCUAGCCAGAAAGCCACGGCUAACUACGUGCCAGCAGCCGCGGUAAUAC
rnacentral:rRNA from 1 species